AACAGAAAUCAACCGAGAUUCCGGAAGUAGCGGCGAGCGAAACCGGACCAGCCCUUAAGCUUAUUAUGUGUUAGUGGAACAUUCUGGAAAGUUUGACGAUACAGGGUGAUAGUCCCGUACACGAAAAUGCAUCUUAAGUGAAAUCGAGUAGGUCGGAGCACGUGAAACUUUGACUGAAUAUAGGUGGACCAUCAUCUAAGGCUAAAUACUCCCAACUGACCGAUAGUGAACCAGUACCGUGAGGGAAAGGCGAAA
rnacentral:rRNA from 1 species